UGGGGAAUAUUGGACAAUGGGCGGAAGCCUGAUCCAGCCAUGCCGCGUGGAUGAUGAAGGCCUUAGGGUUGUAAAAUCCUUUCGUUGGGGACGAUAAUGACGGUACCCAAAGAAGAAGCUCCGGCUAACUUCGUGCCAGCAGCCGCGGUAAUACGAAGGGGGCUAGCGUUGUUCGGAUUUACUGGGCGUAAAGCGCGUGUAGGCGGAUUUGUAAGUUGGGGGUGAAAUCCCGAGGCUCAACCUCGGAACUGCCUCCAAAACUACAAGUCUGGACCUAAGUAGAGGCAAGUGGAAUUGCGAGUGUAGAGGUGAAAUUCGUAGAUAUUCGCAGGAACACCAGUGGCGAAGGCGACUUGCUGGACUUAUGGUGACGCUGAGACGCGAAAGCGUGGGGAGCAAACAGGAUUAGAUACCCAUGUAGUCCCUGAGCGGGCUGGCAAGGCGCAU
rnacentral:rRNA from 1 species